rnacentral:rRNA from 1 species
GACGAACGCUGGCGGCGUGCCUAAUACAUGCCAGUAGAACGCUGAAGGAGGAGCUUGCUCUUCUGGAUGAGUUGCGAACGGGUGAGUAACGCGUAGGUAACCUGCCUGGUAGCGGGGGAUAACUAUUGGAAACGAUAGCUAAUACCGCAUAACAGUAGAUGUUGCAUGACAUUUGCUUAAAAGGUGCAAUUGCACCACUACCAGAUGGACCUGCGUUGUAUUAGCUAGUUGGUGGGGUAACGGCUCACCAAGGCGACGAUACAUAGCCGACCUGAGAGGGUGAUCGGCCACACUGGGACUGAGACACGGCCCAGACUCCUACGGGAGGCAGCAGUAGGGAAUCUUCGGCAAUGGACGGAAGUCUGACCGAGCAACGCCGCGUGAGUGAAGAAGGGUUUCGGAUCGUAAAGCUCUGUUGUAAGAGAAGAACGAGUGUGAGAGUGGAAAGUUCACACUGUGACGGUAUCUUACCAGAAAGGGACGGCUAACUACGUG